rnacentral:rRNA from 1 species
CCCCGUGCAUGAGUGGCGGACGGGUGAGUAACGCGUGGGCAACCUGCCCUGUACAGGGGGACAACACUUAGAAAUAGGUGCUAAUACCGCAUAACGGGGGGAGCCGCAUGGCACCCCCCUGAAAACUCCGGUGGUACAGGAUGGGCCCGCGUCUGAUUAGCUGGUUGGCAGGGUAACGGCCUACCAAGGCGACGAUCAGUAGCCGGCCUGAGAGGGCGGACGGCCACACUGGGACUGAGACACGGCCCAGACUCCUACGGAAGGCAGCAG